GGGACGGACCCUGAGGGGCUGCCUGCCCUCACCCCUCACACCGUCCAUCCCCCGCAGGGGUCUGUCUGCCCACUCUGAGGGAAAUCGGGCAUCUGCUAAAAGAACUAUUUGUAAUGAAUAUUGUGUUGUUUUCAUAGAUCAACGUCCCGGAAGAGCUUUUACUCUUCCCAGGUUUUACCCAGCUCUGGUAAACAGUUUGUAUUUGUGUGAGAUGGGCCCGGAAUAAAAGGGGAGGUUAAGUGUGAUCUCCCAGCUCCUCUCUGGCAGCCUGGUAUUCGUUUCACGUGUUUCCCAAAAUUCCACUGACUUCCACAAGAAGUCAGGAACAAACCAACACCACCCCCAUUUUUCACACAGAAUUACACAAUCAGUUAGGUUGGAAAAGACCUCCGAGAUCAUCGAGUCCAACCUGUGACCAAACCCCACCUUGUCAACUAGACCAUGGCACUAACUAACUUUCUUCCAUGCCAUGAGCUAUGUCAGUCCACUACCAACAGCAGCCUGUUACAGAAACAAUAUAAGCAUAAGGGUUUUUGCAUAGUUAUGAGAGUUGCAUAUGUAUAGAUGUAUAUUAUUAUAUAUGUAUAUGGUUAUAAAGGGGUUUUUCUACCUUUAAUUUUACAGAGUAGUGGGAACAAUCAGAAAUUUUUAAAAUACAGGUCUGUAGGCCAUAAUAUUUGACUCUUUUUUUGCUUUAGUCACAUCAAGAUAUUGAGAAUGAGGAUACAACAGGGCAUUACCUAAUAGGACAAAGAGGCUAUGGAAACAAACAUGGACUAAUCCAGUGGCAUGCAGAUGUGAUGGAAGAACAUCCUGGUCACUCUGCAGCAGCUUUACCUGAAUGUGAACGGGGACCUGCUGAAAAUCUCUUUACGUUUGUAGCGGUGUGACAAGAUUCCUUGGACAGAUGAGUGUUGCAAGUGUUGCUUGCAGGUAAACAGGGAACGAAGAGCGAAAGCACGGCAGAAAGUUUUCCCGUUUCAGUUCUGAGGCUUUGCUGCUUCACCGCCAGCACACCCUGGUGAGCAGCCGCGUCCAGCGCUGACCUUGCUUGUCACGUUCAGCAGAGGCUGCUAAAUCUCGUUUCCUCAGACUUCCAGCACUUUGGGUGAUUGUUCCUCCUUCCAAUCCGAGACACGGCCCCUCGGUGAGCCGGUUCGUGCUCGCUGUUGUCGCGUUGGCAGCGGCGCUCGGCAGCUCCUGUCACCCAGCUCUGCUGCAGUGUGACAUCGGGAGCUGUCUGCGGGCCAGGCAGCGCUGCAGGACAAGCAAGAACUUCUGAACGCUCCUGGCUGCAGUAACAGAUGAUUAAAUUUAAAGACGAUGCAUUGCCACUGCGUUUGUUUGAAUGAUUGUGGUGCUUCAGUGCCUGCUAGUGUUGACUGACACGGUAAUUUAUAGAGUUUUGUUUGUGUGGCUUGUGAGAAGGGAAUAUAUCACUGCAGUGACACCUCACCUAUGUUGGUGGCCUUUUUUUUGGAUGUCAAGUUGAAUUAAGUGCUGUCAGAAUCUGCAGAUGACCUGGCAGAAACUUAAUGAUUGUUCUUAAAACCAUUUGUACUUUCUGUUUUGUGACCUUGGCAGAUCAGUGAUUGGGAAAUUUUUUCACAUGCUGUCUGCACCUGCCAGCUUUGCCAUGCAGCAAUAGGUCAUUUCCUUUCCAAACAUGACUGGCUUCUGGUAUCAGUGGGAAAUUGGCAGCUCUUAUAUGAAAGCAGUACGAUUCCAGUUUCCUCUUUUGGUGAGAUAGGAAAGGAUUUGUUAUUGUUAUGGGCCCAGAGCCCUAUCAGAGCUCUCUUCCCCACUUAACUGCUUUUUCAGUCACUCAAAACCAGUUUGUCAGUACUAUACAGCAUCAUCUAUUUUACUGCCUAUGAGAUUGCCCCAAGUCCAUUUUUUUCCCCACUAUCAUGGGCUUAAUUCUAAACAGAACUGCAAAACCUAAAGUGAAAAUAUUUCUAUCUUCUUCUGACUGUUGGUCUUUCUUCCUCAUUUCUGUGAAGGAACAAGAGAGGGCAGAAUAAAGUGUCUACCUGGUGGUAGGCCUUAAGAAACGACACGGAAUUGAAGUGUACUUUUCUCCCUAUUUCUUUGUCAUAUCAAAAAGUCGAUGUGAAGUGGCACUUGUUGUGCUUUCAGUUCUCAAGAAAGGACAGAAAGCUGUUGCAAUGACUUCUUUGUAAGGGGUGUUUAAAUCAGCAGACAGGGAAUCAGUAGUGUUGGGCAAUUGCCUCAUAUCCAGCCUGAAGUAUCACCUUUGCAAAGAUCUACAAAGGAGUUACGUUGCUGACAGUGAGGUGGGGAAUUUUGUUUCCACUCUUAACAGCGUAAAGCAGCUGCAUUGGCUUUACAGGUGAUUAGAAGGAUUGCUCUCUCUGAAAGUUAGGGUAAAUUGUUAGUACACCCAAUGUGUCUCUUUUUCUUCUGCAGUUACUGGAGAUGAAAAUAAAAUUGUGGGUUUGUCUAUG